rnacentral:lncRNA from 1 species
AUAUAAAUAAGCAAAUAAUGGGUAAAAUGUAUAACUACUUAUAAUGUGAUUCUCUUUCUUUCCUUUUGCCCUUGUUGACCUGAAGUACCCUUCUACUUGAAGGACGGCUGAGGAAAUAGGGAGCCUAUGACAUCCAAAAUAGGAUAUUGCAACAAGCAACUAGCCUUGCAAGGAAUCUUCUGACAUCUUCAACUGCUCUGUGAAAUCUACUGUAAAAUGCUGAGGCAAUCAUUGGAAUACAGGUGGCAUUUAAAGUCUUGAUGUUGGAUGAGACCACCAAAGGAGGGAGUGAAUAUGGAGAAGGGGUCCAAGAAGAAAGCCCUGGGAGACUCUGCUGUAAGCAUUGGGAGAAGAGGAGCUCACCAAGG